AGGGUGGCCCCUCGGUGCGCUGGCGGCGUUGACCAAGCAGCCAUCCGUCACGGUCCCCUGGCGAUCAUAUCCACGCAUCUACAGCACAUAGCAAGGACCCAAGCUUUACAAGCACACCACUGCCGAGGUAGAUAAACUCAAGCGAACAGGCUGUUAGUGCUUUGCCACAGAUUGAUGCCCUGCCGAUGAGCUGCUUCUUACCACGAAAUCGAGUAAAGCAUGCAGAAAACUCAAAUUGAUUGUUUCAUCAAUCUGUACAAGAGGCUGCCAAUACAUGUAAAGAAAAUUUAGGUUCUGUCUUUUGAACGCCAAGAUGAUAGUGGAGGCCUGGAGGGUUUCCUAGUGGUGGAGUAAAAAUCCUAAAUGAAAGGUGACCGGUUCUGUCCAGUAGAAUUGGUUGGAGUGAACUGUGAUAUUAGUCCAAUUGGUUGCCUGAUCCAAGCAAGUUUGAUGAUUCCAAUCUCUGGUUCAUCUGGUGUGUAGCUAGACAGCUCGGCCAGCAGCUAAGUGAGGUAGUGUCAUAAUCUGUAGGUCACAACAAUGGUUGGACAAUGGCUGUCCAGUUAAACUUUACAUGGGUUGUUGCAAGCUGAGGCACAGAGAACCCUAACUUGAAGCUUCCUCAACCCACACAGAAGCGAUCAAGGAAUUGCUGCACUUGCACAUUCUAGCCUGGACAACCUAUUUGAGAUGAUUCCUGUAAAAAUUAUCAAUUAUAUUGUUCAUAUGAUUCCUGUGAUGUCUGUCAAUUUGAGAUUUUUAUGCUGCCUAUGAUGCCAACGUAUUUUUUGCUAAGCAAAUGCCACUGCCUGUGAUGCCUGAUUUUUCUGAUUUUUUUCUAAGAAAAAGCCAUUGCCUAUCAUGACAAAUUAUUUUGAAAUAGAAUUGAUUUGUAAAGGCCAAAGGACUUAGCCCUUCAGGAACGAUUCGAGUACUACUACUACUACUACUACUCCUCUCUUCUUCUUCUUCUUCUUCUUCUUCUUCU